GACGAACGCUGGCGGCGUGCCUAAUACAUGCAAGUCGAACGCAGUGGGGACGGGUGAGUAACACGUGGGUAACCUCCCAUCAGAGGGGAUAACACUUGGAAACAGGUGCUAAACCGAUACUGAUGGAUGGACCCGCGGUGCAUUAGCUAGUUGGUGAGGUAACGGCUCACCAAGGCCACGAUGCAUAGCCGGCCGUGGAGGAUGAUCGGCCACACUGGGACGGAGCAACGGCCCAGACUCCUACAGGAGGCAGCAGUAGGGAAUCUAAGGCAAUGGACGAAAGUCUGAACGAGCAACGCCGCGUGAGUGCAGAAGGUUUUCGGAUCGUAAAACUCUGUUGUUAGAGAAGCGGUAUCUAACCAGAAAGCCACGGCUAACUACGUGCCAGCAGCCGCGGUAAUAC
rnacentral:rRNA from 1 species